rnacentral:rRNA from 1 species
AUUGAACGCUGGCGGCAGGCCUAAAACAUGCAAGUCGAGCGGAGCGGCGGACGGGUGAGUAAUGCCUAGGAAUAUGCCUGGUAGUGGGGGAUAACGUCCGGAAACGGGCGCUAAUACCGCAUACUAUCAGAUGAGCCUAGGUCGGAUUAGCUAGGUGGGGGGGUAAAGGCCUACAAAGGCGACGAUCCGUAACUGGUCGGAGAGGAUGAUCAGUCAAAAUGGAACGCAGACAGGGUCCAGAAUCUUACGGGAGGCAGCAGUGGGGAAGAUUGGACAAGGGGCGAAAGCCGGAGCCAGCCAUGCCGCGUGUGUGAAGAAGGUCUUCGGAUUGUAAAGCACUUUAAGUUGGGAGGCGUUACCAACAGAAUAAGCACCGGCUAACUUCGUGCCAGCAGCCGCGGUAAUUC